rnacentral:rRNA from 1 species
UACGUAGGGUCCGAGCGUUGUCCGGAAUUACUGGGCGUAAAGCGUGCGCAGGCGGCUUUCCAAGCGCCACGUGAAAGCCCCGGGCUCAACUCCGGAUCUGCGGUGGGUACGGGCAGACUAGAGUGAUGUAGGGGAGACGUGGAAUUCCUGGUGUAGCGGUGAAAUGCGCAGAUAUCAGGAGGAACACCGGUGGCGAAGGCGGAUCUCUGGGCCUUACCUGACGCUGAGGCGCGAAAGCUAGGGGAGCGAACAGG